rnacentral:rRNA from 1 species
ACGGAGGGUGCAAGCGUUAAUCGGAAUUACUGGGCGUAAAGCGCACGCAGGCGGUUUGUUAAGUCAGUUGUGAAAUCCUCAGGCUCAACCUCAGAAUUCCGUCCGAUACUGUCAGGCUAGAGUAUGGGAGAGGGAAGUGGAAUUCCAGGUGUAGCGGUGAAAUGCGUAGAGAUCGGGAGGAACACCAGUGGCGAAGGCGGCCUCCUGGACCAAGACUGACGCUCAGGUGCGAAAGCGUGGGGAGCAAACAG